rnacentral:misc_RNA from 1 species
UUGAAUCAUCAGAGAAUAAAGAGAGAACAUCAUCCAGUAUAGAGCGAAGGUCAAAUGGAACUGCCUCAAGUUCUAACUUGCCCGCUUCAAUUUUGGCCCGAUCAAGCACUUCAUUUAUCAAUCUUAUCAGUGACUUCCCACAAUCUUGAGCAGUCUGAGCAUAAUCUCUUUGAGUUGAACUCAGAUCCGUAUCUAAGAGCAGAGCAAGCAUUCCUAGGAUUCCAUUCAUAGGAGUUCUUAUUUCAUGUGAAACAGUAGCCAAGAACUGGGAUUUGGCAACAUCAGCUGCUUCAGCUUGAACCUUUAGCUCCUGCAUUUUAUGGAAAUCAUCCUCUACUUUAUUAAUGUGGCUUGCAGAUUUGUAACCCGUGUAGCCAAUUAAGAGGAAGAUGGUAAAAAUGAAAACUGCAGUGGUCACUGCACCCCAAGAUAUAGGAGCUUCGUAAAGAUACCUACAAAUCAUCUCAUGCUUACGAAAUGGAUCACCAAAAUCAAGCUUGCUCACAUGCUUUAGUGAGGCAUCACCAUUGGGGUUCUG